rnacentral:rRNA from 1 species
CCUACGGGAGGCAGCAGUGGGGAAUAUUGGGCAAUGGGCGCAAGCCUGACCCAGCAACGCCGCGUGAAGGAAGAAGGCUUUCGGGUUGUAAACUUCUUUUAAGGGGGAAGAGCAGAAGACGGUACCCCUUGAAUAAGCCACGGCUAACUACGUGCCAGCAGCCGCGGUAAUACGUAGGUGGCAAGCGUUGUCCGGAUUUACUGGGUGUAAAGGGCGUGCAGCCGGAGAGACAAGUCAGAUGUGAAAUCCACGGGCUCAACCCGUGAACUACAUUUGAAACUGUUUCCCUUGAGUGUCGGAGAGGUAAUCGGAAUUCCUUGUGUAGCGGUGAAAUGCGUAGAUAUAAGGAAGAACACCAGUGGCGAAGGCGGAUUACUGGACGAUAACUGACGGUGAGGCGCGAAAGCGUGGGGAGCAAACAGGAUUAGAUACCCCUGUAGUC